rnacentral:rRNA from 1 species
AGCGAACGCUGGCGGCAGGCCUAAUACAUGCAAGUCGAGCGCACCUUCGGGUGAGCGGCGGACGGGUGAGUAACGCGUGGGAACGUGCCCUUUGGUACGGGAUAACUGAGGGAAACUUCAGCUAAUACCGUAUGUGCCCUACGGGGGAAAGAUUUAUCGCCAUUGGAGCGGCCCGCGUUGGAUUAGGUAGUUGGUGAGGUAAAGGCUCACCAAGCCUACGAUCCAUAGCUGGUCUGAGAGGAUGAUCAGCCACACUGGGACUGAGACACAGCCCAGACUCCUACGGGAGGCAGCAGUAGGGAAUCUUGCGCAAUGGGCGAAAGCCUGACGCAGCCAUGCCGCGUGAAUGAUGAAGGUCUUAGGAUUGUAAAAUUCUUUCACCGGGGAAGAUAAUGACGGUACCCGGAGAAGAAGCCCCGGCUAACUUCGUGCCAGCCGCCGCGGUAAAAC